AAGGAAGCCGCACUGACGUGUGGUCAGAGAGGAAAUGCUUUUUCAUUUCAGCAGAAGACCCCGAAUGACUGCUUAUUGGCUUGCACGCAGCCUUUUGGGGUGGUUAUAAAAUAUUUUGUACUAUGUGUCCAGUAACAGUCUUCUACCCAAGACUCAAAAGCAUGAUUUUGGAAAAGAAAAUUUUCAGUUUAUGGAUGCCUUCCGAUGACCAAAGUAGUCGACAUCCUUCGCCCUCAUGAGAGAUCCUCCAUCCAGAGCAGCCAAUCAUAGCUACCAAAAACACCUUGGAAGACACCAUACUUCUCUGUUCUGAAGAACGAAUAGGAUAGACGAGAGGGACCAUAUUGCUG
rnacentral:lncRNA from 1 species